rnacentral:misc_RNA from 1 species
GAUGAAGAACGCAGCGAAAUGCGAUAAGUAAUGUGAAUUGCAGAAUUCAGUGAAUCAUCGAAUCUUUGAACGCACAUUGCGCCCGCCAGUAUUCUGGCGGGCAUGCCUGUUCAAGCGUCAUUUCAACCAUCAAGCCCCGGGCUUGUGUUGGGGACCUGCGGCUGCCGCAGGCCCUGAAAUGCAGUGGCGGGCUCGCUGUCACUCCGAGCGUAGUAGUUACAUCUCGCUCUGGGCGUGCUGCGGGUUCCGGCCGUUAAAAGCCUUAUUUACCCAAGGUUGACCUCGGAUCAGGUAGGAAGACCCGCUGAACUUAAGCAUAUCAAUAAGCGGAGGA